GACGAACCGUGCGAACGUUAUUCGGAAUCACUGGGCUUAAAGCGCGUGUAGGCGGGCCGGCACGUCGGAUGCUGAAAGCCCCCGGCUCAACCGGGGAACGGGCACCGAUACGACCGGCCUGGAGGGGGGUAGGGGGAGCCGGAACUUCCGGUGGAGCGGUGAAAUGCGUUGAGAUCGGAAGGAACGCCCGUGGCGAAAGCGGGCUCCUGGACCCCACCUGACGCUGAGACGCGAAAGCCAGGGGAGCAAACGGG
rnacentral:rRNA from 1 species